GAGGGUAUAGCUCAGUGGUAGAGUGCAUGCUUAGCAGGCAUGAGGUCCUGGGUUCAAUUCCCAGUACCUUAG
rnacentral:tRNA from 1 species